AAAAGAAAUCAACCGAGAUUCCCCCAGUAGCGGCGAGCGAACGGGGAGCAGCCCAGAGCCUGAAUCAGUGUGUGUGUUAGUGGAAGCGUCUGGAAAGGCGUGCGAUACAGGGUGACAGCCCCGUACACAAAAAUGCACAUACUGUGAGCUCGAUGAGUAGGGCGGGACACGUGGUAUCCUGUCUGAAUAUGGGGGGACCAUCCUCCAAGGCUAAAUACUCCUGACUGACCGAUAGUGAACCAGUACCGUGAGGGAAAGGCGAAAAGAACCCCGGCGAGGGGAGUGAAAAAGAACCUGAAACCGUGUACGUACAAGCAGUGGGAGCACGCUUAGGCGUGUGACUGCGUACCUUUUGUAUAAUGGGUCAGCGACUUAUAUUCUGUAGCAAGGUUAACCGAAUAGGGGAGCCGAAGGGAAACCGAGUCUUAACUGGGCGUUAAGUUGCAGGGUAUAGACCCGAAACCCGGUGAUCUAGCCAUGGGCAGGUUGAAGGUUGGGUAACACUAACUGGAGGACCGAACCGACUAAUGUUGAAAAAUUAGCGGAUGACUUGUGGCUGGGGGUGAAAGGCCAAUCAAACCGGGAGAUAGCUGGUUCUCCCCGAAAGCUAUUUAGGUAGCGCCUCGUGAAUUCAUCUCCGGGGGUAGAGCACUGUUUCGGCAAGGGGGUCAUCCCGACUUACCAACCCGAUGCAAACUGCGAAUACCGGAGAAUGUUAUCACGGGAGACACACGGCGGGUGCUAACGUCCGUCGUGAAGAGGGAAACAACCCAGACCGCCAGCUAAGGUCCCAAAGUCAUGGUUAAGUGGGAAACGAUGUGGGAAGGCCCAGACAGCCAGGAUGUUGGCUUAGAAGCAGCCAUCAUUUAAAGAAAGCGUAAUAGCUCACUGGUCGAGUCGGCCUGCGCGGAAGAUGUAACGGGGCUAAACCAUGCACCGAAGCUGCGGCAGCGACGCUUAUGCGUUGUUGGGUAGGGGAGCGUUCUGUAAGCCUGUGAAGGUGUGCUGUGAGGUAUGCUGGAGGUAUCAGAAGUGCGAAUGCUGACAUAAGUAACGAUAAAGCGGGUGAAAAGCCCGCUCGCCGGAAGACCAAGGGUUCCUGUCCAACGUUAAUCGGGGCAGGGUGAGUCGACCCCUAAGGCGAGGCCGAAAGGCGUAGUCGAUGGGAAACAGGUUAAUAUUCCUGUACUUGGUGUUACUGCGAAGGGGGGACGGAGAAGGCUAUGUUGGCCGGGCGACGGUUGUCCCGGUUUAAGCGUGUAGGCUGGUUUUCCAGGCAAAUCCGGAAAAUCAAGGCCGAGGCGUGAUGACGAGGCACUACGGUGCUGAAGCAACAAAUGCCCUGCUUCCAGGAAAAGCCUCUAAGCAUCAGGUAACAUCAAAUCGUACCCCAAACCGACACAGGUGGUCAGGUAGAGAAUACCAAGGCGCUUGAGAGAACUCGGGUGAAGGAACUAGGCAAAAUGGUGCCGUAACUUCGGGAGAAGGCACGCUGAUACGUAGGUGAAGCGACUUGCUCGUGGAGCUGAAAUCAGUCGAAGAUACCAGCUGGCUGCAACUGUUUAUUAAAAACACAGCACUGUGCAAACACGAAAGUGGACGUAUACGGUGUGACGCCUGCCCGGUGCCGGAAGGUUAAUUGAUGGGGUUAGCGCAAGCGAAGCUCUUGAUCGAAGCCCCGGUAAACGGCGGCCGUAACUAUAACGGUCCUAAGGUAGCGAAAUUCCUUGUCGGGUAAGUUCCGACCUGCACGAAUGGCGUAAUGAUGGCCAGGCUGUCUCCACCCGAGACUCAGUGAAAUUGAACUCGCUGUGAAGAUGCAGUGUACCCGCGGCAAGACGGAAAGACCCCGUGAACCUUUACUAUAGCUUGACACUGAACAUUGAGCCUUGAUGUGUAGGAUAGGUGGGAGGCUUUGAAGUGUGGACGCCAGUCUGCAUGGAGCCGACCUUGAAAUACCACCCUUUAAUGUUUGAUGUUCUAACGUGGACCCGUGAUCCGGGUUGCGGACAGUGUCUGGUGGGUAGUUUGACUGGGGCGGUCUCCUCCUAAAGAGUAACGGAGGAGCACGAAGGUUGGCUAAUCCUGGUCGGACAUCAGGAGGUUAGUGCAAUGGCAUAAGCCAGCUUGACUGCGAGCGUGACGGCGCGAGCAGGUGCGAAAGCAGGUCAUAGUGAUCCGGUGGUUCUGAAUGGAAGGGCCAUCGCUCAACGGAUAAAAGGUACUCCGGGGAUAACAGGCUGAUACCGCCCAAGAGUUCAUAUCGACGGCGGUGUUUGGCACCUCGAUGUCGGCUCAUCACAUCCUGGGGCUGAAGUAGGUCCCAAGGGUAUGGCUGUUCGCCAUUUAAAGUGGUACGCGAGCUGGGUUUAGAACGUCGUGAGACAGUUCGGUCCCUAUCUGCCGUGGGCGCUGGAGAACUGAGGGGGGCUGCUCCUAGUACGAGAGGACCGGAGUGGACGCAUCACUGGUGUUCGGGUUGUCAUGCCAAUGGCACUGCCCGGUAGCUAAAUGCGGAAGAGAUAAGUGCUGAAAGCAUCUAAGCACGAAACUUGCCCCGAGAUGAGUUCUCCCUGACCCUUUAAGGGUCCUGAAGGAACGUUGAAG
rnacentral:rRNA from 1 species